CCUACAUGUAGCUAUAACUUGUCCUGCCUUGUCAAAAACACUACAGAAGGCAUUUACAAGCUCCACGAUCAGGAAAAACUGAACAUCUGAAACAUUCUGGUCUAAGAUGACAAUCAAAGUGGAAGACCACGAUGUUGCUGCUGCCGUUGACCUCUGCGCACUCGAGCUUCGGCAGCUUGGCGAUAAAAUGUACUGGAGAUACAAACUGCUGGAAAUACUGGUCAAGAACUAUGAGACUGUCACUAAAAUAAAAUGAAUCAAACUGUUACCGGCUGGAAGGAAUCAUGAAUAAGAGAGGCACCGAGCCAAAACCAAAAGGAAACUUGGAUGUGAACCCAUUACUGGUAAUGACGUAGUGAAACUCAGGAGGGAUCUCCGCUGUUGCCACAUCUCACCGGACUGUGGACUGAAAUUAUGAUCAGAGACAGAAAUGCGUGGGAGGAUGUUGUUCCGGCAGCUGACUGGACCAAAGAAGAACGUCAACAAGGCGGUUAUCUGGUGAAGAUAAUGAAAUUCAAAAACACAUACUGUCAUGCUCUAAAUCAUACUUACAAGCAAGUUCAUUUCAGAGUUGUAAAAUGGCAAAACUGAUGUUACAAAUUUGUUAAAAAGGUUACAAUGAAACUAAUUCCUUCAUAAAAGAAAGCACUUUGUGGAUUGCUACCGUAAGAUUCACAUUUAGGAUACUGGUACUAUCUCUGUUUAAUGGGACACAGGUAGCAUUCAUGAGUAUCUAUGGUUACUGUACUAUUUAUGGUUUUAGUAUGCAUGAGUUUUUUCUUUUUGUCCUAAAGUUGAAAUUCUCUCAGAUUUUGGACAACCUAAAUAACCAAACUGGUCUGUUGUCUCUAAAAGCAUUGCAUUUUAAAAUACUAGAUGUUUGAAAUGGGGCAAAUCUGACUAAACCAUCUUUACAUGUUUAUCUUUGUAUAUCUAAUGCUGAGGAUUGUAUAUUUAAUAUAAAAUUUUUGACACUGUGAUACUUUGACCUUAAAAAUAAAUUAUUCUCAAUACUGCUGCCUAAAAACAAUGAUGACAUUUAAGGGCUGCCCAGGAACUAAGAUGAAGACUGUUAGAUUAUAUAUUUGCUAUAACAUCAACUUGGAGCCCCCUGACUGUUAGUGUGUUGAAGGAAUAUUUAAGGAAAUGUUUUUAUUUUUAUUUUGUCUUGAAUGAAAAAUACUGCUUGCUUUCUUCAGUAUUCCAUAAACCAAAAAAAUAUUUACUAAGCGGUGUCCCCCAGGGCUCUACACUUGGUCUAGUUCUCUUUUAUUUAAGGGGAAAUAAAAUAUCAUACCUGGGUUUGUAAUUAGAUUAGAAUCUUAACUUUAGAACUCAUAUAUGUAUGUAUGUAUAUUUAUAUAUAGAUAUCUAUGUAUCUUUAUAGAUAUAUAUAUAUGUAUAAGGUGUAAACCUGUAUAAUUAACAUAAAUAAAGGCUUGAAAACAUCA